rnacentral:rRNA from 1 species
UACGUAGGGGCCAAGCGUUGUCCGGAUUUAUUGGGCGUAAAGAGCUCGUAGGCGGCCUGUUGCGUCCGCUGUGAAAGCCCGGGGCUUAACCCCGGGUCGGCAGUGGAUACGGGCAGGCUAGAGGUAGGUAGGGGAGAAUGGAAUUCCCGGUGUAGCGGUGAAAUGCGCAGAUAUCGGGAGGAACACCGGUGGCGAAGGCGGCAUCCUGGACCAACACUGACGCUGAACAGCGAAAGCCAGGGGAGCAAACGGG